AAGCUGUGAGGGAGACAUCCGCCCACUUAAAACUUCUGUCCCAGAAGCUGUUUUGAUUUGCUUCAUUGCUGGGGAUUAGACAGGUUCUUACACGUACUAGGAAGCUCUGGUCCCUGGGGAUAUUCAGAACACCACGAUGGCAACCAAGAUGGAGGGUGUCCCGACUUCUCUCCACAGCUGCCAUGUCUAGGAACAACAACAACAACACCCUUUUUGCUUUGCUUUAUCCAGAGGUGACAUUACACCUUCUAUCUAUAGCCCCUUGACUAGAAGUCCUAUGGACAUCCUGAUACCAAGCAAAUUGAAAACAGGAUGGGCCAGAGACACUCAGAAAGUAUCAAAGUCUCCAUCACCGUCCUGUGCCCCCGGACGAGGCAAGCGGUUCUGGGUGAUUCACACACCUCCAUCCUCAUCACAGCACCAGAGUGAGCUGCAGUGGUUCUGACUCUCAGCUCAGCUUCAUGCUGCUUGUGUGACUGAGCAAGCCAUGCUAGCCUCCAUUUCCACACCUGUCGAGUGGAGAUUCCAACGCCCACCUCUGCAUGAGCGAGCGAGAGAGGCACUCUUGGCUUGUCAUCAAUGUCUAAGGUGACAAUUCUUUCCCAACAGCUCUGAUGGGGCAGAUUAUCUCAAAGACUAUGGGACCCUUCUCAAAGACAUUAUGGCCAAGAUGAUUGUAAAUUACCUAUGCUUGUAAGCCUCAGGAAGUAAUUUAAGAUAGGCUGAACACAGAUACCAUUCUUGGAGUGGGAGGUGUGGUUUUGUUCUAUCAUGUAACCUUUUUUUCAUUCUGUGAUACCCUCUCCCUGACUCCAGCGUCUAAGCUUUAUAGAUCAGCCUGGGUGUGAAUCCCAGUUUAGUCACCCUGUUUAGUUAGCAAGCAUUCUGAGCCCAUCUUUGUGUGUGUGUGUGUGUGUGUGUGUGUGUGUGUGUGUGUGUGUGUGUGUGUAUCUGUUCUGAGAUUGAAUCAGGGCCUGUUAACAUUGGGACAGUCACGACUACUUCACAAGGUGAUCUAUAAGAUCAAGAAAUAAUUCAGAUCAAGUCCCCAGCACAGUAUAGGGUAACUCUUGAUACGUUCUAGUGCGAAUUCCUCCAUUUGGUGUGAGAGCUUAGUCACAGAAGUUUCACUUGAGUCCGUGAAAGCCCAAGUCAACACCAGGUUAGGACCUAUCUGUCAGGAAAUGGCUUUGUUGGCAGGAGAGGACUUGUCUACUCCUACCCAUUAAAGGAUCAAAGCAAACAAAUAAACAACAACAAAAUUAAACUAGGAGACUUUUAGACAUACAAAUACAAAUUUCUGAUUUCUUCUAAAGAAUUAAUUCUGUCUCCAGUGGUCAAAAUUUGCAUCUUACAGACAGAUUGGCUUUCUGAGGAUGCCAACAACCCUCAUCCCUCCUCGCUGUUGUUGUCUAUCUCGCCUGCUUUACUCACCCAUAGGCUUGACCCAUGUAAGAAUGUGAGUGCCAUUGACACACAAAGCAGUUGGUCCUGAUGGGAGUGACUGAAGGGGGAAAGCUGGCAGGGAGGCAAAGCCGGCUUCAACUCUUCAGCCAAAUACCAAGGACUGUAUUAAGUAUUUUUGCUGCUCCUUUUAUUUUUAAUUUAGUUUAAUUCUUUGAGAAUUUCAAACGGUAUAGUUUUGUCAUAUUGUUUCCCAUGCCCCAACACUGUUCCUAUGGGAUUUCUGUAGUUGUUAUUUGACACAGGCUCCCAUGUAGCCCAGGUUUAUUUACUAUGUAGCAGGAGUUGACCUUGAACUCCUGAUUCUCCUGCCUUCACUUCCCAAGGGCUGGAUUACAGGCAUUGGGUACCACACCUGGUUAUAUUGUUACCCUCUAAAAGACUGAUAGGUUAAAUAAAGUAUCACUUUUGCUUC
rnacentral:lncRNA from 1 species